UAAUUGAUGGCACAUUAUUCUAGUCAAUUACUUUACUAGGAAGACGAGAUUAAACAAUCGUUAAAGGGCAUAUCUGUGAAACCUUUGGUGUUUGCUUCUUACGCCCAGUUUGGGGUGAAUGCUGAAGAUGAAAGAUAUAGGGCGCUCGUAAUGGCAUACGAUCAACGACCCUAUGUCUGUGGAGACCUGUUUUUGUAGCAAACCUAUACGUACAGACUGAUGGAUUUGUUACGAGAUUGGAUAGAACCUGUAUUGUGGCGCAAGCUAUGUGCAGUGUAGCCUGUCUUGAGUGAUAGUAUUGGGAUAAAUGAUCUUACUUUGUUUAGGCGGCCACCUAAAGAAAGCAUUGCGUUUUGAAAUUUCUAUUGCAAAAAAGAAUUAGAAGUAAAGUGUUGGUGGGGAAAUCUCCUAGGGUGUAGUUCAUUAUAGGAUUGCAGUGGGCACUAAGUGGUGAUCAAGUUGUAUGCACGGAGACGGCAUAUUGAUUUCAGUAAAGGGGAACCGCAUUAUUGGUAACGAUAGUGUUGAAAUCAGAGAAAUUCUACUUGACCUAAGGCUCAGAGUUUACUACAAUGACAGCCAUACAAUUAAUU
rnacentral:sRNA from 1 species